AAAUGAAUAGACGGGGACCCGCACAAGCGGUGGAUGAUGUUCUUUAAUUCGAUGCAACGCGAAAAACCUUACCCACCUUUGACAUGUACAGAAGUUUCUAGAGAUAGAUUCGUGCUCGCAAGAGAGCUGUAACACAGGUGCUGCAUGGCUGUCGUCAGCUCGUGUCGUGAGAUGUUGGGUUAAGUCCCGCAACGAGCGCAACCCUUAUCAUUAGUUGCUACGCAAGGGCACUCUAAUGAGACUGCCGGUGACAAGCCGGAGGAAGGUGGGGAUGACGUCAAGUCCUCAUGGCCCUUAUAGGUGGGGCUAGAAACGUCAUACAAUGGCUGGUACAAAGGGUUGCCAACCCGCGAGGGGGAGCUAAUCUCAUAAAACCAGUCGUAGUCCGGAUCGCAGUCUGCAACUCGACUGCGUGAAGUCGGAAUCGCUAGUAAUCGUGGAUCAGAAUGUCACGGUGAAUACGUUCCCGGGUCUUGUACACACCGCCCGU
rnacentral:rRNA from 1 species